rnacentral:rRNA from 1 species
GGGGAAACGGGAAAGCGGGGUUCGACGAGCCCAACCUCCCACCCGUGUUUACUGUUACCGCGUUGCCUCGGCGGGCCCACUGGGGCCUGGCCCCGGUCGCCGGGGGGCUUCUGCCCCCGGGCCCGCGCCCGCCGAAGCACCCUAGAACCCUGCCUGAACAGUGAGUCUGAGUGAGAUUUUAAAUCAUUAAAACUUUCAACAACGGAUCUCUUGGUUCCGGCAUCGAUGAAGAACGCAGCGAAAUGCGAUAAGUAAUGUGAAUUGCAGAAUUCCGUGAAUCAUCGAAUCUUUGAACGCACAUUGCGCCCCCUGGCAUUCCGGGGGGCAUGCCUGUCCGAGCGUCAUUUCUGCCCUCCAGCACGGCUGGGUGUUGGGCGCUGUCCCCCCGGGGACACGCCCCAAAAGCAGUGGCGGCGCCGCGUCGGGUCCUCGAGCGUAUGGGGCUCUGUCACCCGCUCGGGAGGGACUCGGUCGGCGCCGGUCUUCCCUUUAGGCCGCCCUUCGGGGUGCGCCUCUUCCGGUUGACCUCGGAUCAGGUAGGGCUACCCGCUGAACUUAAGCAUAUCAAUAACCGGAGAAAU